ACUUCCCUGCUGACAUUCCCGUGAUGGCAUGUGUGACUUACUUCGCUUGAUGUUCUGAGAAAGGAGGGGUUUUUUUGGGGGGCAUUUCUGAAUGCCUCUGCAUGUGUACGUGAGGUUGUGGUUAUAUGUGUUAAUGCAUGUGCUUUAUGUGUUUCUGAGUGUGUGUCUGUGUUACACCUCGGGAGAGUAAAGGAGCUGUCAGGACAAAUCACCUCUCUCGCUCUCCUGGGGUUUUUAUGCCUCUCUGUUUCAGCCCAAAUGAAAAUAUGCUCAACACAAAUAACUAGGGUUCCUUCCCACCGUUUCCUAGGCAACCCCUCCUGUCUAAAGCCUCUAGUUACUGUUUUGUUCAUCGUGAGAGAGAGUGCGAGAGUUUGUGUGUGUGCCAGUGAAUGUAACUAUCAGAGAUGCCAUUUCUCUGCAAAAGCAGCGAUUUGUUGCGUAGAUUGUCCCUGGUCCCAGAGCUGGAUGCUUCUGAUCUGCAGUCGAUGUUCCACCAGCUGGUCCAGUCUCCACCAUGUCCACUGUGGGAUGCUGCUGCUGACCUUCCUCCAGCCCUCUGCUUCCAGCUCCCCUUUUCCACCAGUCAACUCUGCAUCGCCUUCACUAUACUUGUUAUGCUAACUUACAUACUGUUUGAAUUUUACUGCUAGCUAUAUAUGGAGUAUGUUUAAUGUCAGAGCCAUACAUCAUAAGAGUAAACUAUGAGUCAGUUUUCAGUGUUAGCUUAUACUUUGUUUGGUUCACAUAUCCUGUCAUAUAUGUAUCCAAAUGUGUGUUGUGUUUUCCGUGCUUUCCCACCCCUCCCUCUUCUCCCAUCCCUCCCCCUUGCCCUCCUCUGUCCCUCUUAACCCGCCCGGCCAGCAGGCAGAUGGGUCCCCCCUAUAUAGAGCCGGGUUCUGCUCGAGGUUUUUUCCCUGUUAAAAGGGUGUUUUCCUUGCCACUGUCGCCUUUGGGCUUGCUCUGGGGGUCAGGCAUAUGGGUUCUGUAAAGCGUCUUGAGACGAUUUGACUGUAAUAUAAAUAAAAUUGAAUUGAAUUGAAUUGAAUUGAAUUGAAUUGAAUUGAAUUGAAUUGAACAGUCAAGUCAGGAAAGCCACUUCAAACCAUUUAAAGCAGCUAGAAUCAAAAAAAUUAUCUGUGAAAAACAGUUGUAUUUCAGUAUAACAUGCAUUGCAGUUAUGUCCCCGCCAUGAUCAGAAAGAACAACGCAGGCUAUCACCUGUUGCUAAGAGACAAUUGGUGAGAAUGGUCAAGAGUCAAACAAGAAUCACUAGAUGCUGGUGAAAUGCCGGUGUCAGUGUCCACAGUUAGGUGUCGCCAUUGGCUUAGAGGCUGCAGAGCAAGAAGGAAGCCCUUUCUCUAGAAGCAGCACCUUAAGGCUCAACUCACAUUUGUUGCUGAUCACGGAGACAAAGAAAAGGCUUUCUGGGGCAAAGUUAUGUGAUCAGAUGAAACAAAAAGAGAAAUCAUUAGUCAGAAAGUUGCAUCAGGGUCCCUGCCUCUGCCCUGAUUUGCUGGCAGCGUCUCCUUUUCCACCUUUUCCUCUGUUCAUCAGUGUGUGUGUGUGUGUGUGUGUGUGUGUGUGUGUGUGUGUGUGUGUGUGUGUGUGUGUGUGUACAUGUUUAUCUAUACUGGUGGGGACUUGGUGGGAAAUUUGACCUGACUCCACGCUAUCUUGGUGGGGACUCGCGUCACGGUGGGGACCAAAAAUGAGGUCCCCACGGGGGGAAGCAAUGUUUUCUUGGCCAUGUUGUUGUUACUGAAAAAACUAAAAGUGCAAAAAAGUUUCUUUAGGGUUUUGGUGUUGGUUAAGGUUAGGGUUAGGGUAAGGGUUAGGGGUUAGAUAUGAAUGGGAGUCAAUGGUAUGUCCCCACAAUGAUAGCAAGACACACACACACACACACACACGCACACGCACACACACGUGUGUGUGUGUGUGAGCCGCUUCCUAAUCACUAGCAAGUGAAGACACCUGUGCAGGGGCUGGCUCACUGCACUGCACAGAACUCAUGUUAGCAUUAACUAGAUCCUGAAUGUAGUUUUUUUUUUACCAGUGUAAACUUGCUUCAUGUAUUCUCUUCUCAAGCGGUGUUGCACCCUGUCACACUUUCAGUUACUGCUUUUCUCAUAACAUAAUUUUGACUGUAUACCCCGACCACUGUUCCUUGUCUUGUAGUACUCAGUCUUGGUCUAUUACCCCUCCCCAUUUAAUAUUCUUUGUAUGUCAUCUGUAUUAUUUGUUAGCUAGUUUUCUGCAUUCAGCCUGUAUGAGCAGCCUUUUAAUCCUGAUUUUGUCAUAUUUCCAGAAGACCUACAAUAAAUAUAUUAUUAUUUUUGGGACAGAU